rnacentral:tRNA from 1 species
GAGGGUACAGCUCAGUGGUAGAGCACAUGGUUAGCAUGCACGAGGUUCUGGGUUCAAUCCUCGGUACCUCCA